UCUUUUUUGUUUCUUUGUUUUGUACCAGGGAUUGAACUCAGGACCUUGAGCUUGCGAGGCAGGCGGCAGAACCACUGAGCUAAAUCCCCAGCCCAGUACACUUAUAUUUCAUCAUGCCAAACAUAUUGAUUUGGGAGUAUUCACCACUCAAAAGUCUCACAGUUUUGGUAUUCCUGUUCACCCUGGGCGCGGAAGGUGAUGAUGACAAAGCCCACGAAGAUGUUCAUCAUGAAGAAUGCGAUGAUGAUGAUGUAGACAAUGAAGAACACGGAGAUCUCCACAUGGUAAUUAUAGAU
rnacentral:lncRNA from 1 species